rnacentral:rRNA from 1 species
GACGAACGCUGGCGGCGUGCUUAACACAUGCAAGUCGAGCGAUGAAGCACCUUCGGGUGUGAAUUAGCGGCGAACGGGUGAGGAACACGUGAAGAAUCUGCCUUCAACUCUGGGAUAACUCCGGGAAACCGGGGCUAAUACCGGAUAUGAGCCUUGAUCGCAUGAUCGGGGCUGGAAAGUUUUUCGGUUGAAGAUGACUUCGCGGCCUAUCAGCUUGUUGGUGAGGUAAUGGCUCACCAAGGCGACGACGGGUAGCCGGCCUGAGAGGGCGACCGGCCACACUGGGACUGAGACACGGCCCAGACUCCUACGGGAGGCAGCAGUGGGGAAUAUUGGGCAAUGGAGGAAACUCUGACCCAGCGACGCCGCGUGAGGGAUGAAGGCCUUCGGGUUGUAAACCGUC